UGGGGAAUAUUGCACAAUGGGCGCAAGCCUGAUGCAGCAACGCCGCGUGAGGGAUGACGGCCUUCGGGUUGUAAACCUCUUUUAGCAGGGAAGAAGCGAAAGUGACGGUACCUGCAGAAAAAGCACCGGCUAACUACGUGCCAGCAGCCGCGGUAAUACGUAGGGUGCAAGCGUUGUCCGGAAUUAUUGGGCGUAAAGAGCUCGUAGGCGGUCUGUCGCGUCUGCUGUGAAAUUCCCGAGGCUCAACCUCGGGCCUGCAGUGGGUACGGGCAGACUAGAGUGCGGUAGGGAGAAUGGAACUCCUGGUGUAGCGGUGGAAUGCGCAGAUAUCAGGAAGAACACCGAUGGCGAAGGCAGUUCUCUGGGCCGUAACUGACGCUGAGGAGCGAAAGCGUGGGGAGCGAACAGGAUUAGAUACCCUGGUAGUCCACGCCGUAAACGUUGGGCGCUAGAUGUGGGGCACCAUUCCACGG
rnacentral:rRNA from 1 species